rnacentral:rRNA from 1 species
AUGAACGCUGGCGGCGUGCCUCAUACAUGCAAGUCGAGCGAACAGACGAGGAGCUUGCUCCUCUGCCGUUAGCGGCGGCCGGGUGAGUAACACGUGGAUAACCUACCUAUAAGACUGGGAUAACUUCGGGAAACCGGAGCUAAUACCGGAUAAUAUAUUGAACCGCAUGGUUCAAUAGUGAAAGACGGUUUUGCUGUCACUUAUAGAUGGAUCCGCGCCGCAUUAGCUAGUUGGUAAGGUAACGGCUUACCAAGGCGACGAUGCGUAGCCGACCUGAGAGGGUGGUCGGCCACACUGGAACUGAGACACGGACCAGACUCCUACGGGAGGCAGCAGUAGGGAAUCUUCCGCAAUAGGCGAAAGCCUGACGGAGCAACGCCACGUGUGUGAUGAAGGUCUUCGGAUCGUAAAACUCUGUUAUUAGGGAAGAACAAAUGUGUAAGGAACUAUGCACGUCUUGACGGUACCUAAUCAGAAAGCCACGGCUAACUACGUG